AAUUUUGCUAGCUUUCAAAGCACCGGCUGAGCACACGUCUUCCCACCCUCAUGAAAAUUGCAUCAUGUGAUGCGUACCAGGAGAUAAGGCUUGAAAACCAGGUGGUGCCCACAAUUUGGACUCCUGCUCUUCUACCAUAUGCCCGGAUGGUAUCCGUCACCCUCAGUAUGGUGAUCUGAUUUGGAGAAUCAAUUCCUAAAGUGGACAAUCCAUUUCUAUUUAUUGGUCGGGAGCAAUCACCGAGCGCGUCUCCCCCGACUUCGACACGCCCUUCAUUCCAUUUCCCAGACAUUUCGGGCAGGUGGGGCAGGUAACCCCUGGACAUCCGCAUCUGUAACAGAAGAGAUUACGCUGUGGGACUGGACACUCGAAAUACGUAUGCCCGGAGGCUUGACAGUUCCAACAGAUUCAACUACAAAUAUUUAAUAAUAAAAAAAACUUUAAAAUUACAAAAUUAAAUUUAAUGUUUUAUAAUGCAUUGCUUUUUUUCAACACAUUGGAAAAUAAUAAAAAAAAUGAAUUUGAAAAUUUGCCUGGGUCUAACCUUAAAUUUGUUAUGUCCUACUUUAGAAAUUCCUCACCAGUUAGAGCUCCUCCUAGUAAUUAUUUCUAAUGGACUAACU